AGUGAACGCUGGCGGUAGGCCUAACACAUGCAAGUCGAACGGCAGCACAGUAAGAGCUUGCUCUUACGGGUGGCGAGUGGCGGACGGGUGAGGAAUACAUCGGAAUCUACUUUUUCGUGGGGGAUAACGUAGGGAAACUUACGCUAAUACCGCAUACGACCUACGGGGGAAAGCAGGGGAUCUUCGGACCUUGCGCGAUUGAAUGAGCCGAUGUCGAAUUAGCUAGUUGGCGGGGUAAAGGCCCACCAAGGCGACGAUCCGUAGCUGGUCUGAGAGGAUGAUCAGCCGCACUGGAACUGGGGCACGGUCCAGACUCCUACGGGAGGCAGCAGUGGGGAAUAUUGGACAAUGGGCGCAAGCCUGAUCCAGCCAUACCGCGUGGGUGAAGAAGGCCUUCGGGUUGUAAAGCCCUUUUGUUGGGAAAGAAAAGCAGCAGGUUAAUACGCCGCUGUUCUGACGGUACCCAAAGAAUAAGCACCGGCUAACUUCGUG
rnacentral:rRNA from 1 species